rnacentral:rRNA from 1 species
UACGAAGGUCCCAAGCGUUAUCCGGAUUUAUUGGGUUUAAAGGGUGCGUAGGCGGGCUAUUAAGUCAGUGGUGAAAGCCCCAAGCUUAACUUGAGAACUGCCAUUGAUACUGAUGGUCUUGAGUACAUUUGAGGUGGGCGGAAUGUGGUCAUGUAGCGGUGAAAUGCUUAGAUAUGACACAGAACACCGAUUGCGAAGGCAGCUCACUAAACUGUAACUGACGCUGAGGCACGAAAGCGUGGGGAGCAAACAGG